GGAGGUCAUAGUCUUCAAGACAAUACCUGAGGAGAGAUGAAAGCAAGGAUGAUGGUGUCAGAAGCCUGCACACCAAUUUAGAAGAUAAAAAAGAGCUCUCUGCUGCGAAGGCAAAUUAUUUUCCUCCAAGAAACAGAUACCUUAUGCAAAGUUUAUCAUAUUAAGUAAUGUUCUCUCAGAUCUAAGUCACCGUUGGAGGACAAGAAGACAGGUUUUUUACUUUUCUUGUCACUGCUUGAUGGAGAAGUGUAUAUUCUUUUAUUCAGAAACAAACAAGAUCCAUGAAGUUCUUAAGCAUAAGAGAUGCCCCAUUGGUCUUCUCUGGAUUUUCCUCAUUAUGUCUGGAUAUACUGAGUCUAUAAAAUGGAAGAGAAAGAGAUUAAUGAAUAAUUGGACCAGACUCUUACUAUCAACAUCAGUAAGGAAGAUAUCAGUUGCAUGUGCUAUUUCAGAAACUGAGUGGAAUUAGCUUUUUAUAAGUAACAGUAUUUUUGAUUAUUACUAUUCUUUUUGGGGUAAUUUCUAUGUCAAAUGUUUAUUUCUUGUGCAAAUAUUUGCACACACAAGGAAAGCUUAAGCUGAAGGACCACUAUCUAGGCCCUAAAUACUGUUGUUAGUGUUGCAGGGCUAAUGUGAAGUAUAAUCUUGUGGUAUUUCUUCGUAUAUGUGAAUUUAUUGUGAAGUCAAGCACUGAGUCUACGCUUUAGUCCUAGAAAAAAAAUGGUUUGAAAAUGCAGAAUAAUGGGGGAUUUUUCUAGAUAAAAGUGCCUGGAAUUUGUUGGAUUAUUUGCAGAUGGGACUUUGAACUGUGACUUUGAACUGUGACUUUGGUUUAAUCAAUAUAUUUAUGAGCCUUAGGCCUCUGUGCUCUUGCCUUUUGCCCCACCUUAGUAUUUUUUUUUUGACUGGAUGUCCACUUUGAGAAAUGAUCUGUCCUUUCAUAUGGACUGCAGGGUAUGUGCCAUAUUUGGUAUUAUUUUCAUUAAAUUCUCUCUACUGUAUGAGUUGCCUUACAACCAAUGCCUUUUAUAAAGAGGAAAAAUAAAACUGUCAAUGGCUUGCA
rnacentral:lncRNA from 1 species